GCACCUGUAGCUCAAUUGGUAGAGCAGCGGACUCUUAAUCCGUUGGUUCAGGGUUCGAGUCCCUGCAGGUGCACCA
rnacentral:tRNA from 1 species